UACGUAGGGUGCAAGCGUUAAUCGGAAUUACUGGGCGUAAAGCGUGCGCAGGCGGUUUUGUAAGUCUGUCGUGAAAGCCCCGGGCUCAACCUGGGAAUUGCGAUGGAGACUGCAAGGCUUGAAUCUGGCAGAGGGGGGUAGAAUUCCACGUGUAGCAGUGAAAUGCGUAGAGAUGUGGAGGAACACCGGUGGCGAAGGCGGCAUCCUGGACCGACAUUGACGCUGAGGCGCGAAAGCCAGGGGAGCAAACGGG
rnacentral:rRNA from 1 species